rnacentral:rRNA from 1 species
UACGUAGGGUGCAAGCGUUGUCCGGAAUUAUUGGGCGUAAAGAGCUCGUAGGCGGUCUGUCGCGUCUGCUGUGAAAACUCAGGGCUUAACCCUGAGCUUGCAGUGGGUACGGGCAGACUAGAGUGCGGUAGGGGAGACUGGAAUUCCUGGUGUAGCGGUGAAAUGCGUAGAUAUCAGGAGGAACACCGGUGGCGAAGGCGGCUCUCUGGACGGUGACUGGACGCUGAAGACGCGAAAGCCGUGGGGAGCAAACAGG